UACGUAGGGUGCGAGCGUUGUCCGGAAUUACUGGGCGUAAAGAGCUCGUAGGUGGUUUGUCGCGUUGUCCGUGAAAACUCACAACUCAAUUGUGGGCGUGCGGGCGAUAGCGGGCAGACGUGGAGUACUGCAGGGGAGACUGGAAUUCCUGGUGUAGCGGUGGAAUGCGCAGAUAAUCAGGAGGAACACCGGUGGCGAAGGCGCAC
rnacentral:rRNA from 1 species